CCCUUUGUGAACAUACCUAUAACUGUUGCUUCGGCGGGUAGGGUCUCCGCGACCCUCCCGGCCUCCCGCCUCCGGGCGGGUCGGCGCCCGCCGGAGGAUAACCAAACUCUGAUUUAACGACGUUUCUUCUGAGUGGUACAAGCAAAUAAUCAAAACUUUUAACAACGGAUCUCUUGGUUCUGGCAUCGAUGAAGAACGCAGCGAAAUGCGAUAAGUAAUGUGAAUUGCAGAAUUCAGUGAAUCAUCGAAUCUUUGAACGCACAUUGCGCCCGCCAGCAUUCUGGCGGGCAUGCCUGUUCGAGCGUCAUUUCAACCCUCAAGCUCUGCUUGGUGUUGGGGCCCUACAGCUGAUGUAGGCCCUCAAAGGUAGUGGCGGACCCUCCCGGAGCCUCCUUUGCGUAGUAACUUUACGUCUCGCACUGGGAUCCGGAGGGACUCUUGCCGUAAAACCCCCCAAUUUUCCAAAGGUUGACCUCGGAUCAGGUAGGAAUACCCGCUGAACUUAAGCAUAUCAAUAAGCGGAGGAAAAGAAACCAACAGGGAUUGCCUCAGUAACGGCGAGUGAAGCGGCAACAGCUCAAAUUUGAAAUCUGGCCCUAGGCCCGAGUUGUAAUUUGCAGAGGAUGCUUUUGGUGCGGUGCCUUCCAAGUUCCCUAGAACGGGACGCCAGAGAGGGUGAGAGCCCCGUACAGUUGGACACCAAGCCUUUGUAAAGCUCCUUCGACGAGUCGAGUAGUUUGGGAAUGCUGCUCAAAAUGGGAGGUAUAUUUCUUCUAAAGCUAAAUACCGGCCAGAGACCGAUAGCGCACAAGUAGAGUGAUCGAAAGAUGAAAAGCACUUUGAAAAGAGGGUUAAACAGCACGUGAAAUUGUUAAAAGGGAAGCGCUUGUGACCAGACUUGCGUCCGGUGAAUCACCCAGCUCUCGCGGCUGGGGCACUUCGCCGGCUCAGGCCAGCAUCAGCUCGCUGUCGGGGACAAAAGCUUCAGGAACGUAGCUCUCUUCGGGGAGUGUUAUAGCCUGUUGCACAAUACCCUUCGGCGGGCUGA
rnacentral:rRNA from 1 species